CACGUAGGGGGCGAGCGUUGUCCGGAUUUAUUGGGCGUAAAGAGCUCGUAGGCGGCUUUGUCAGUCGGGUGUGAAACCUCCAGGCUCAACCUGGAGCCGCCACCCGAUACUGCAAUAGCUAGAGUCCGGUAGGGGAGCAUGGAACUCCUGGUGUAGCGGUGAAAUGCGCAGAUAUCAGGAAGAACACCAGUGGCGAAGGCGGUGCUCUGGGCCGGAACUGACGCUGAGGCGCGAAAGCCAGGGGAGCGAACGGG
rnacentral:rRNA from 1 species